rnacentral:rRNA from 1 species
UGGUGGAGUGAUUUGUCUGGUUAAUUCCGAUAACGAACGAGACCUUAACCUGCUAACUAGUCUCGCUCAUUUUAUGGGUGCUGACUUCUUAGAGGGACUAUGUGGACGAUAAGCACAUGGAAGUUUGAGGCAAUAACA